ensembl:lncRNA
CCCCCAGCCCCUUAACUCCUCAGCCUUUACUAGUGACUGUCGUUUGAUUGGUUCAAGUUGUCCAUGCCCCACUCAAGGCUUUGAACUCUCUUGGUUAAUAUUUCCCAUGAAGUGCAUCUCUCGGGGAGAAAAAGGCAUUUUAUAAUAGCAGUGGCAACACUCAUGCUUAGAUCCAGGUAUUUCACCUGGAGGGACUGACGUAGCAUUACAAUCCACAGUUUCAAUUACAUCACAAGCUGUUGUUUGUCAGCGUAGAUUCUACAGUAGCAAUGCUUUGCUUCGGGAAGACAUUCAAGGAAUGUUUCCUAAGUAAGAUGUGAGGCCAGUCAGAUUAUGGUGAGAUGGUUCUCACAGGUUUGGGGAAGGCGCCUUUACUUCUGAGCACAUCUGGAGUCUGGUGCCUAAUGGUGGCAAGAGGCCUGUAAAAAAAAUCUGAGUUGAAAAUCCAAACCUGUAUGCAUGCAGACCUGAGUGUCAUGAGAAUGCUUCUUACUGCAUCCAUGUGCAUCUUGUGUUAAUUUCCCCCUGUAUAUAAUCGCACGGUGUAUCUCCAUUUUAGCGAGAGGGACAGUAUUUGUGUGAUGUGAAGUGAGCUGGGUUGUUUUGGUUGCUAUCUAGGAGAGGUGAGACAACACUCAGGGAGAGGUUGGUGUCAGUGGUACUGCUGCUGUGGAGCACUGGAAACAUUUGACAGCCUGUGCAAAGUUUAGGAUCACUGAAAAGAAUUCCUUUAAACCCAUGCUAUCAUUCAUUUAGAAGCAUAUCACAAACGUAAUUCUGGAACAAGUGGAUAUUCCAGAAUGUUCCAUAUUCCUCUUCCCUUGUCACUACUCAGGUAUAAUCCUACUCUUCUGUUCCAAUCAGUGCUUCCAAAAUGAUGUCUAAGAGAAUGUAGAUGAGAAGAAAUUGUGAAUAUAUAAUUCCUGACUGUGAGCUUCAUACUCCUUCCACUUUUCCCUUACAUUUGUUCUCAGUGUCUUUACUACCUUCUAAGUCAGUUUUAUUUUCAUUUUCCCCUCCAUUUUCGUUUUUUUGGUUUUCAUGUAUUUUUCUUGUACAAUUUCCUGCUUCCAAAAACUAACCAAAAAUAUUGAACUGCAUAAAAAAAUGAACUGAGGUUUAACAAAGCAAACAUGUUCCAAUUUGAUCUUGCUGGAAAUGGAUUACAAAGAGCUCACAUGGAUAGACGGACAGACCCUAACAUGAAAUGAAAGAAAGAUGGACAGAUUGUUCUGUGUGAGGGACUAGUAGGAACUGUUUGAAAAGAGGAUUGUCAUCAAAGGAAGAAACCGUGAAAUGGAGGACAGUUUGGGGAAGAAAGAACCCAAUGAAAAUGAGAGGAGGAUGGAAACUGAUCGCUUCUCAGUUGUUGAGUUUCUAAAUUACCCCUCCUUUCUCUCAAAAAGAAGACAGAAAAUUAUACCAUUAAUCCGUCAUUGGAAGCACCAUUAGAAGAACUACAACUUCCAUGUAGAAGAUAGAGAGAGGCAGAGAAAGAGAGUGAAAGACCUGGGGAAAAGAAGACACUGAAAAAAAAAGAAGAGAGUCACAUUGUUAUUCUACGUCAAGUAUCGUAACAGAGGCAAAGAGUGGACAAAAACAAAAUAUUGUGAAAUAAUAACAUCAAGAAACCGGACCUCACUGGACACACACACAUACUCAAUGCUUAGGAUCUUAUAUACUAUAGUAAAUGCAGAGAUACAAGAGACAUACAAAAUAUCAAAGACUGAAGCUUUGGGACUUAUGGGAUUGUGACUACCACUGUAUAGCUGACAGAUUUGUCAAAACUACUCCAGCACUCGCUGAUCAUAGCAACUAAAACAGCUGGAGGAUGUAGUCACUACUGUCCACCCAAAAUGAUUCUGGUCUCAAUGGAAAAGCCCAUAGAUUUCGGCACCUAGUUUCAUCCAAAGAUGUAUGCACAUACCACACAAAGAGAAAAUUGCGCUUCAUGAUGGCUUCCAAGCAGUACCACUCUUGGGACUCUUUGACGUGGACUUGUGACUCAGCAAAACAGAAAAGUUGAUGAAAGAGAGAGAUCCUGAUGAUUGGUUACCCUGUAGCUGGUUUCUCUCUCUGUCUCUCUCUCUCUUUCCCUCUAUCGGUCAUGCUAUAGUGUCUCCUCUCUCCCCCCUCUCAACCUCCACCUGUCUGCAUCUCGGCGUGUCUACUCUGUAGUGAACUGCAUGGCAUGAAAAAAAAAAAAACUCAAGCAAGGAAGUAGAGAACAAGUAGAUGGAGGAAGAAACUUCAGUUAGCAAACAAAGGCGCAUUUGCGUUGUCCUUAUUUUCUUCUGUUACAAAAAAAAAAUCUCUGAUCUUGAAGUUGGCUCGUGGCCCACAAGCCCUGCUGCUGACAAAGAGUUCAGAGUGGACAAAAGAGAGAAUGCAAGCGCCUCUCCUUCACAUGGGUUGACUUGUUCAAGCUGGAAGAAUAAAAAAAAAAAAACGCAUGGUGCCAAUAGAAGAACAGCGAAUGGAAGUAUGGUGAACUUUGAACAAUUCAGAAAAAAAGCGCAAAUCGAAAAUGCAUUUUCUUACUUUGUUUACCAGCAUGACUAAUUUGCAUGACUCUACUUCGGCAAGCCGCGGCCCCUGAAAAGAGCAAGGGGCUCGGAAUCCCUUCAAAAACAAAACCAAAUGGGGAAAAAACAAAAGAGAUUUAUGUUAUAUGCAACUUAGAAGAGAAGAGGAUUAUAUUAAAAGAGGAUCUAUAUUUUGUUUUUGAAUACAAAAAAAUAAUAAUAAAAAUAUAAGAUUGCAAGAUAAACAAACUAUGUUUUAUUAGAUAUAAGGUAAGACACCCCACCAAAUGUACUGGAUGUGAACAAUUCUCCUGCUACUUCUGCUUCUAUAGUAACUUCUAUAACUACAACUGUUCUUGUAACUGAUCCUACCAUGAGGACUCUUGUUGUAUACGGCUGUACUACUUCUCCUGCUUGCUCCUUCCUGCUGCACUGCUGUCAGCCUCUCUCACCGUCGCCCCCUGCUGCACAGGCUGCAUCAUGACGACUCUCCUCUCCCAUGUUGACCUCUCGCCCCUCUCUGCACCCACAGCUGUGCGCUGACGUCAGGAGGUCAAGGGUAAUCGCUUCACUGGAGGAGAUGCUUCCCACACCAGCGCAGAUAAUGUGAAGUAGAGUGUAUUAUUUUAGUCCAUGUUACUCUGUUUGUUGAUGAGUUGUACAUUCACAGAGGUUCAGUGUGUGGGUGGACAGUAUGAGACGACUUGAACAAACUUUUGCGAUUGUAGCCCAGCAAUACUAGUUCCAUAUCUUCCAAAGGGGGAGCUCCUUUCAGAUCCUUUUCUCCAUCAUCACAACUUCAUAGCUGUCACAGGUUCACAAUAAUGUUUGCUCCCCACCCCCUUCACUAAGCACUUCUACGUUGCUCUAUGCUGCUGAUUUAAAAGUUACAUAUUUUGUGUUGUUUGCCAUUAUUCAGCUCUUCUGUAGCUCAACACUAAUGUGCCCAUCUUAAAAAUGUUAUGGCUCAAAUCUACCCUGUGUCAAACCAGUCAUUUUUGUUCUGAUAUCUUCAGGAUAAGAUUUGAUAUGGAUAAGACCAGCAGGGAUAUACAUGCAAGAGAGGUAUACUAUGUUGACAUGACAAAGUUGUUGUUCAUGCAGUUACUGUUUGUUGGGGUUUAGUCUCCACCUUGGACUAGCACCUACUGUCCAGUAUAUCCAAACAGACAAUCUCUUGUUGGGGAUUUGAAUAAUUCUAAAAUGAUAAAUGAAAAUUAAGAAAAACACUUGCAUUUCAAAUGAUAAUGUUUGGAAAGGACAUAGUGACUAUUUGUCAUUUUUAUUUACAAUUGGUGCCAUUAAUUGUGCUGCUUUUUCUUUGUUCUAUUUUCCUCUUCUGCUCAUAUUGCAAUGGUGUUUGGCCAGAGAUAAGGUGUAGAGAAUAACAUCUACAUCAUGGCCUGUAAUGAGACUUAAUGUCACUCAUGUAUAACCAACCUAAUAUUACUCUCACACAUGAAUAUCCACUGUAGUUGAAUUAUCACUGCGAUAAUCCAUUGAGAUAUAUAUGGAUCAAUUGAAUGAGUGCUGCACUGACGGUUCAAUUUGUGUCAACCAGCGUGCAAAUGACCUGACCAGAAUCUUCUCUAAGGUGAGCAGUUAACUAUGCAAGAGUGCAGCCGUAGUGUCAGGGCCUAUUUGCACAAGAAUGCCAGUCUCAAAUUAGGUUCUAUCUGUUUUGGACACUUAAGCAGGAGCCACCAUAGGGUCAGUGAGUAGUCCCUAUGGUCACUUUAAGCCCAGUCCCACUGUAGCCAUGCAUAUGGUCCAUGACAGGGUCAUUGACUUCAGGUAAAAGAGUGAUGCAGUUGUAGGUUUCCCCUUUUAGCAUCACUUACAUUGACAUUCAUUUCACCUCCCUGUUCUCCCAGCUUACUGUACCUCAGUCUCGCAUCUCUUUUCCCCAUUCUUCAGGACAGUUCAGUUAGGCACCAGAAUUAAAUUAGGCAGUGGUGGACAUAAGCAGUAUGGAUGAGUUACUAUCAGGGAGAGUGAGUGGAAGAGAGGUAAAAAGGCAGGCCUAUCAUAGCCCCUUUUUAACAGCAAAAAAGUACUUCAUCCACAGUCCAGGGGGGUCUGAUAGAGCAAUAACAAGUCCAAACGUUCUCAGCAGAAGGAUGAAGAUUUUGUAAUAGGAUGACAGAUUCCAAAGUCAGUUGGAAUCUACCCACACAGAGCAAUCAGGGGAUCCUUGUGAAUGUCAUUGAUUGUUAGUGCUACUGUGUGUGUUUUACUGCUACUAUGUGUAUGAGUGUGUGUGCGUGUGGGUGUUUGAGUGUGUAUCUGCCUGUCUCUGUUUGUCUGAGCUUUGGGGGGGAUGCAUCAUGAAUGGGUCUGUGAUUCAGAGCAAAGCCACGCCCAUGUGAGGUGAUUGACAGCUCCACUGUUUACUUGAAACCCAAAUAUAAAACAUAUCAGUGAGGAGCAGAACAAAUCGAGCCAGAUUCAGCUGCCACUCCCCUUCUCUCUUCUCCUCUUGUUUUCCCUCCAUCCCCACCUUCAUUGCUCUUCCUCCUGUACUGGUUUUGAGGAGGAAGCUAUUUUGCAUCUGUUGUUCUCUUGUGUUAUUCUAUCAUAUUGUUUGAAGCUGAAUUAUAAUGCAUGCGUGGGGAAAAAAAAGAAGACUUAAAUGUAUCUGUGAAUGGCCAGAUUGAAAUAACCUUCUCUUUCACCUGUUAUCCUGCUCUGAUUCUCUCUUCAUCUGUUUUAGAGUGGAAGGAGGGAGGUCAAAACAAAAAGCAUAACCAUGAACCACAAACUCACUUAAUCGUUAAGUCUUGACCCUUUAUCUUUUAUUUAUGUUUUUGUUUGCCUUUUCUUAUGUAUGACGGCUGUUAAGUGUUGGCCCUACAAAUGAGUGAAGCAGGGUUUUCCCAGUGUUGCAGGUUGAGUCAUAAAUAGACAGACAAACAAUCACACACACACACAUACACAUGAACAUCACUUGACACACAAAGGAAAACACAUUCACUCACACGUCAGAAACACAUCUUAUGGCCAUAUUUUCAUAGACCUUGACGGAUUCUGAUGCAAACGAUAACGGAAGGAACAGGGAGACAAAGUCAUAGAUUUGUUUUAUUUCAGCCUCAGCAGGGAGCCACCUCAAGAGUAGGUUCAAGAAGUGACUGCCAAAAAAGUUAAAAAGGCAUAGCAUAUAUACAAGACAGGUAGUAAAGUCAGCAUGAAUUAUUCAGUCAUGAGGUAGACCGAUGAAUGACAUCUGCACAGAUGGUUACUUUGAUGGUGCUGGGAAAUCUAAUCUAAAUCACAGAAAAGACAGUGUUGCGUUGUUUACUUUGUCCCCUUCUUGAGAACCAGAUGAGCCCUUGUGGUGUCACCCCGGGACAGAGUGGGAGGCCUGUGGAGGUGAUAAGGCAGCUGGAAAGGGCAUUACUUUAUAUCAGGGGAAAAACAGCAGUAAUUCUGUUCCCUCAACUUGUAUCAUUUUGUUGUUUGUUUGUUUGCUAAGAAGAAGCUUACUCUCAUUUUAUUAUUAUUAAUGUGCUUAUUUUUUUAGAAAUUUUUUAUCUCAGAUGCUUUUUGUGUUGUACACAAGUUAACCUGCAACUAUGCUAAUUGAUGGAGGUGUACAACGGCACCAACUUGCUGUCUUAUCUGGAGAGAGAGGGGAAAAUGGGAAUGCAGGAGGAAAGAGAUGGUUAUUAAAAUGAUGGUUGGAUGGUUUAUGCUUUGAAGACUGAUGCUGAAUAUGAUUUUAAAAUAUAAAAAAGAAAAAAGUCUACAGAACUGUAUAAAAUAUAUUUCAAUGGAAUGUUUAUUACUUACCUUUUAUAUUUUUGAAACAAUGAAAAAAUGAAUAAACAGUAAUUUAACAAAGUUUGUGAAAGGCGAGACUUACAACAGCUCUAUUAUUAAAGAAUGAAAGUUUGAAUGUGAAUGCUAACUUACCUGAUCAACUCUUCUCCAUCACACAUAGGAAAAAUAACAAUAAAAUAACAAAAAACACAAAAUACGACAAAACAUAUCAAAUUUAAAAAGAAAAGGUCCACAAAAAAUCAAUAAAAACAAUAAAAUCUUACGCCAAAAUUUUCAUUGUGUGUCCUCUGUGUGUAUGAUUUUCUCAACAGAAUAAAUCUCAGGUAUAUUUCACUCAAGUUCCUGAAUAUGAAUUGUACUACUGUAUACUUUCUAUUAAUCAGGGUAUAUUUCUAACUAUACUAUCUAAGUAUAACUACUUUUAUCAUUGUAAUAUGAUCAGAUAAAACCAGCAUUUGGACUAAGUGUAUAAAUGGCCUUAAACAGCAGAGUACCACAUAUAGUGUGGGUGGGAAGUUGUAUUUUUACUGUAGCCUCAUUCACUUAUCACACAUAAACAGUGACGUUGCUUAUACUUAAUACUGCUUUAGAAAGCUCCAGUUGAACUAUAGCACUUAAAGGCCUGUCAGUUUAAUAAAGUAAAUGCCGGAAAACAGAGCAUAUGAGAGGACUUCACAGCUUCUGGCGUUUGGAUAAAUACUCUUUAUGACACAAAACAACAGCAAUGACUGUGACUGAAGAACCGGGAAAAAAAUAUGUAUUGUUUUCC